rnacentral:rRNA from 1 species
UACGUAGGGGGCAAGCGUUGUCCGGAUUUAUUGGGCGUAAAGAGCGUGUAGGCGGCUAUACAGGUCCGUUGUGAAAACUCGAGGCUCAACCUCGAGACGCCGAUGGAAACCGUCUGGCUAGAGUCCGGAAGAGGAGAAUGGAAUUCCUGGUGUAGCGGUGAAAUGCGCAGAUAUCAGGAAGAACACCCGUGGCUAAGGCGGUUCUCUAGUACGGUACUGACGCUGAGACGCGAAAGCGUGGGGAGCGAACAGG